GAUGGGGCUGGGGCCGGCUCUUAGUCAGAGUGACGCUUCCCGGCUCGCGACAGUUGACGUGGCUGAUUCCGGCUCCGGUUCCGGCUCUGGCUCCGGCUCCAGCUUCAUCCUGGAUCUCUGAAAGAAGGGCAAGGGCUAUCUGGGAAACUCCACUUCCUCCAGAAAGAUAUGGAUCUGCCCAAAAGCAAUCAAAGAAAGGAAAAGAACUUACCUCUACAAAAAUAUUGUAGCUUCUUCUUGGUGACAAAGUCCUGAAAACAAUGUUCAUGGAUUGAAUUGCUGAGCAGAUUAUGAUAAUAUGAAUUGUCUGCCUGAAAGAGUACAAAACCACCAAAGCAGUUGCAAAAGAACACGUCUUUAAUCAGGACAAGGGAGACAAUGCUCUUAUGGCCCACUGCCACCCAGAGACACUCAAUUCCUAGAUUCUGGGAACACUAUCUCAGGGGAAAACACCAAGAAUGAGAAUUUCCACUGAACUGCAGAACUCAGGGUCUUAUAUAUAAUUUAGGAAGCAUAGUAGAAGCUAGGGAAUACCUGAAAACAGCCUAGAUAUAAUAAAAGAAACUAAGAAGACAAAAAAAAGUACUAAAAUGAUUAUAUCUACUAAUCCCAUCUUGGGUGAUCCUGGGAUGCUUAAGUGUUUCAUAAAACAAGGUUGUCAGAAUGUAGUGGAAUUCUUUUGAGUCAUAAGAAAUGUAGAUAUUUAGACAUAAGAAAUUUAGACAAAAUUAGACAUAUUAGAGAAAUUAAGGAAGACUUGUAAGAACUGAUGCAGAGUGAAAUGAGCAGGUACAAGAGAACAUUUAUUGCUGAAACAAUACAUUGUAAAAAUGAACAAACACCUGUGGAAAGUUUAGUGAUUUCACUUGAUCAAUAAAGAAGAUUACUACCA